UUCCAUCAUGAUUGUGAGGUUUCCCCAGCCAUGUGGAACUGUAAGUCUAAUAAACCUCUAAACCUCUCUCUUUUGUAAAUUGCUCCCUGGUCUCAGGUAUGUCUUUAUCAGUAGCGUGAAAAUGGACUAAUAUAGUUCUUAUAUUUCUAGCACACAUGCAACUGAAUGUCAUCAUGUCAAUCCAUUUGCAUUGCUAUAAAGGAAUACCUGAGGUUGGGUAGCUUAUAAAGAAAAUAGGCUUAUUCGGCUUAUGUAUCUGCAGGUUAUACAAGCUUGGCACAAACAUCUAUUUGGUUUCUGGAGAGACCUCAAGAAGCUGACAAUCAAGGCAGAAGGCAAAGAGGAGCCAGUGCAUCACAUGCCUCAAUGAGAAUUACUACUUCUUGCAUUAUCAUUUGUAUCCGCAAGUUUCUGUUGGAACAAACGUCCGGUGCCUUCCAGAAUCACGGAGAAUGGGCCGGCUGAUGUUUCGGUUGAUUCUGGUCCAGGCUUAACGAGUGACUGGCACUGUGCUCUAUGCCUCCAUCAAAUGUUAUCUGAAAUCACUGCCAAUGGAAAUGAAAAGGUUCUGCCAAUACAUCAUGUAAGUCUUUGUAUUUUUCAAAAUCCCUGUGCAAAGGUUUAAUAACCCCAAAUUCCCUUUACCUUCUGAUGCAAGUCAU
rnacentral:lncRNA from 1 species